CACCGCGGUUAUACGAGAGGCCCAAGUUGACAAACCCCGGCGUAAAGAGUGGUUAAGGGAAAUUUAAAACUAAAGCCGAAUGCCCCCAAAGCUGUUAUACGCACCCGAGGGUAAGAAGCCCAAUCACGAAAGUGGCUUUACACUACCUGAACCCACGAAAGCUAUGAAA
rnacentral:rRNA from 1 species